GAGCUUGCUCUUCUUGGAUGAGUUCUUAACGGGUGAGUAAAGCGUAGGUAUCCCGCCUUGUCGCGGGGGGAUAACUAUUGGAAAACGAUAGCUAAUACCGCAUAACAAUGGAUGACACAUGUCAUUUAUUUGAAAGGGGCAAUUGCUCCACUACAAGAUGGACCUGCGUUGUAUUAGCUAGUAGGUGAGGUAAUGGCUCACCUAGGCGACGAUACAUAGCCGACCUGAGAGGGUGAUCGGCCACACUGGGACUGAGACACGGCCCAGACUCCUACGGGAGGCAGCAGUAGGGAAUCUUCGGCAAUGGGGGCAACCCUGACCGAGCAACGCCGCGUGAGUGAAGAAGGUUUUCGGACCGUAAAGCUCUGUUGUAAGUCAAGAACGGGUGUGAGAGUGGAAAGUUCACACUGUGACGGUAGCUUACCAGAAAGGGACGGCUAACUACGUGCCAGCAGCCGCGGUAAUACGUAGGUCCCGAGCGUUGUCCGGAUUUAUUGGGCGUAAAGCGAGCGCAGGCGGUUUGAUAAGUCUGAAGUUAAAGGCUGUGGCUCAACCAUAGUUCGCUUUGGAAACUGUCAAACUUGAGUGCAGAAGGGGAGAGUGGAAUUCCAUGUGUAGCGGUGAAAUGCGUAGAUAUAUGGAGGAACACCGGUGGCGAAAGCGGCUCUCUGGUCUGUAACUGACGCUGAGGCUCGAAAGCGUGGGGAGCGAACAGG
rnacentral:rRNA from 1 species